rnacentral:rRNA from 1 species
UACAUAGGGUGCAAGCGUUGUCCGGAAUUAUUGGGCGUAAAGAGCUCGUAGGUGGUUCGAUACGUCGGAUGUGAAAAUCAGGGGCUCAACCCCUGACCUGCAUUCGAUACGGUCGAGCUGGAGUUUGGUAGGGGAGACUGGAAUUCCUGGUGUAGCGGUGGAAUGCGCAGAUAUCAGGAGGAACACCGAUGGCGAAGGCAGGUCUCUGGGCCAAUACUGACACUGAGGAGCGAAAGCGUGGGGAGCGAACAGGAUUAGAUACCCUGGUAGUCCACGCCGUAAACGGUGGGCGCUAGUUGUGCGAACCUUCCACGGUUUGUGCGACGCAGCUAACGCAUUAAGCGCCCCGCCUGGGGAGUACGAUCGCAAGAUUAAAACUCAAAGGAAUUGACGGGGCCCCGCACAAGCAGCGGAGCAUGCGGCUUAAUUCGACGCAACGCGAAGAACCUUACCAAGGCUUGACAUAUACAGGAAUACGGCAGAGAUGUCGUAGCCGCAAGGUCUGUAUACAGGUGGUGCAUGGUUGUCGUCAGCUCGUGUCGUGAGAUGUUGGGUUAAGUCCCGCAACGAGCGCAACCCUCGUUCUGUGUUGCCAGCAUUUAGUUGGGGACUCACAGGAGACUGCCGGGGUUAACUCGGAGGAAGGUGGGGAUGACGUCAAAUCAUCAUGCCCCUUAUGUCUUGGGCUGCACGCAUGCUACAAUGGCUGGUACAAACGGCUGCAAUACCGCAAGGUGGAGCGAAUCCGAGAAAGCCAGUCUCAGUUCGGAUUGGGGUCUGCAACUCGACCCCAUGAAGUCGGAGUUGCUAGUAAUCGUAGAUCAGCAACGCUACGGUGAAUACGUUCCCGGGGCU